UACGAAGGGGCUAGCGUUGUUCGGAAUUACUGGGCGUAAAGCGCACGUAGGCGGAUAUUUAAGUCAGGGGUGAAAUCCCGGGGCUCAACCCCGGAACUGCCUUUGAUACUGGGUAUCUCGAGUCCGAGAGAGGCGAGUGGAAUUCCGAGUGUAGAGGUGAAAUUCGUAGAUAUUCGGAGGAACACCAGUGGCGAAGGCGGCUCACUGGCUCGGUACUGACGCUGAGGUGCGAAAGCGUGGGGAGCAAACAGG
rnacentral:rRNA from 1 species